CCCUUAGAUGUCCUGGGCCGCACGCGCGCUACACUGACAUGUUCAACAAGCCUCCUAGUUCGACAGGAUUUGGGAAAUCUUUGAACGCAUGUCGUGAUAGGGAUAGAUCAUUGCAAUUAUUGAUCUUGAACGAGGAAUUCCUAGUAAACGCGAGUCAUCAGCUCGCAUUGAUUACGUCCCUGCCCUUUGUACACACCGCCCGUCACACCUACCGAUUGAAUGUUUCGGUGAAGAUUCCGGAUAGGACUUUUUUGAUUUAUUUCAAUUUUGUCUUAAAAGCUAUCUAAACCUCAACAUUUAGAGGAAGGUGAAGUCGUAACA
rnacentral:rRNA from 1 species